UUAGAUACCUAAAAAGACAAACAGCGUUGCGGGCCGCAGCCACCGCCGGCUGGAGGCCCCUGGGAUGCGGCGGGGCAGGGUCCCAGACGAGAAGCAUCCCCCACCCCCGGCAAUACACACACACACACACACACACACACACACACACACUGAGCGAUCCUGACUGCCAUGGCCCGGUACCCUCCUUUUUUAAAAGCACCCCGGGUGUCACUUCCCAACUCGGAGACCAGGUAACUCCAGUCAGGCAGACUCUCCGUUCCCUGACCCCAAAUACCACUUCCCAGUCCCCAGAUAAGAAGAUUCCCGGACACGAGGCAUAGACCUCCUCUUAGCAGGCCAUCACCAACUCUGAUCCCAGGUUCCAGAUGGACUGCAAGCGCCACCCGCCCACACCAGGCGCAACCCCUCUUCUGCGCCGCAGAAACGACCCCCGGGCUCACAACCAAGCGGCCACCGGACUCUAGGUGCGGCUCCGCCCCCAGCCCAGAGGUCACCCCAGACCCCGGAACCGCCUCUCAACCUCAGGCAGCGACUGCUCGAGUCCGGAUGGCCGUGCGCCCACCUCCAGCCCAGGCGCGGCCCUGAGCUACGAACGCAGGCGCUGUUCCCCAGACUCCAGUCUGGCGCGCGGGGUCGCCGGAGACCAGGAGCAAGUCCAGCCCCCAAGCCAGGGGUCACCGAAAACCCUGGGCGCUGCCACUCCACCUUAGGCGGCGGCCCGCGCCUGGACGGCGUGACCCGCAAGAGCUGGCGGCGGGGGCGCGGGCGCGGGCGGGGCGCACCCACAGCGGCGACACCGGGGCCCGUGGCGCACGCGGGCCGCUGCUUUGCGCCGCAGCGCCCAGAAGGCCACGGACCGCAGCCCAGGCACUGACCUGUAGUGGGUUGGUUUCUCUGUCUGCGGGGGGGACCCGCUCAGCGCCGCCGCCGCCGCUUUCGAAACCGACGGCAUUUUCAGUCAAAACAAUGCAGCGCGCAUGCGCCGCGCCGGCGCCCCCGGAUCUCCCCCCCGCACCGAGCCCCCUGCGCCCCCCGCCGCGCCGGCCACACCCCCGGGCACGCCACGCCGGCCACGCCCCCACCGACCCCUCGCCCACGCGCGCUGUGCGGCGGGGGUGACACACAGGUUCUGCCGGCCCACCACGGCAGCAAGUUACAGGCGCAAGGCGGGACACGCCCGUUGGUGUAGAGUCCCCAUGAUGGCCUCUGCGUCCAGGGCUGCUGUUGGGCACAGGUUUCUUUGAACUGGAAAAAGUCUAUAAUUAGACUGUGACGAUGGUCGCCCCUUUAUUAAAUUUGUGAAUUUAAGGAUAA